rnacentral:rRNA from 1 species
AGGGUUCGAUUCUGGCUCAGGAUGAACGCUGGCGGCGUGCCUAACACAUGCAAGUCGAGCGAUUACUUCGGUAAAGAGCGGCGGACGGGUGAGUAACGCGUGGGUAACCUGCCUCAUACACAUGGAUAACAUACCGAAAGGUAUGCUAAUACAGGAUAAUAUAAGAGAUUCACAUGGAUUUCUUAUCAAAGCUCCGGCGGUAUGAGAUGGACCCGCGUCUGAUUAGCUAGUUGGUAAGGUAAUGGCUUACCAAGGCGACGAUCAGUAGCCGACCUGAGAGGGUGAUCGGCCACAUUGGAACUGAGACACGGUCCAAACUCCUACGGGAGGCAGCAGUGGGGAAUAUUGCACAAUGGGCGAAAGCCUGAUGCAGCAACGCCGCGUGAGUGAUGAAGGCCUUCGGGUCGUAAAACUCUGUCCUCAAGGAAGAUAAUGACGGUACUUGAGGAGGAAGCCCCGGCUAACUACGUGCCAGCAGCCGC